GACGAACGCUGGCGGCGUGCUUAACACAUGCAAGUCGAACGGAAAGGCCCCCUUGUGGGGUACUCGAGUGGCGAACGGGUGAGUAACACGUGAGUAACCUACCCUUGACUUUGGGAUAACUUCAGGAAACUGGGGCUAAUACCGGAUAGGAGCUCCUGCUGCAUGGUGGGGGUUGGAAAGUUUCGGCGGUUGGGGAUGGACUCGCGGCUUAUCAGCUUGUUGGUGGGGUAGUGGCUCACCAAGGCUUUGACGGGUAGCCGGCCUGAGAGGGUGACCGGCCACAUUGGGACUGAGAUACGGCCCAGACUCCUACGGGAGGCAACAGUGGGGAAUAUUGCACAAUGGGCGGAAGCCUGAUGCAGCAACGCCGCGUGCGGGAUGACGGCCUUCGGGUUGUAAACCGCUUUCGCCUGUGACGAAGCGUGAGUGACGGUAAUGGGGAAAGAAGCACCGGCUAACUACGU
rnacentral:rRNA from 1 species